AUGACAAUCAACAAAGCUCAAGGUCAAACUAUUCCAAAUGUUGACAUCUAUCUUCCAGAGCCGGUGUUCUCUCAUGGUCAACUCUAUGUUGCUUUAUCAAGAGGGAUGUCAAGACAAACAACAAGAAUACUUGCAAAGCCAAAUAAGGAAAUUGAUCCAUCAGGAAAAAGCACCAACAAUAUUGUCUACAAAGAUGUCUUGAUGUAA
rnacentral:rRNA from 1 species